rnacentral:rRNA from 1 species
CUAACAAGGAUUCCCUCAGUAACGGCGAGUGAAGCGGGAAGAGCUCAAAUUUGAAAUCUCCGAUGCCUGCAUCGGCGAGUUGUAGUUGCGAGAAGCACUUUCUAGGUGGAUCGGCGGUGCCUAAGUUGCUUGGAACAGCAGGUCGCAGAGGGUGACAACCCCGUCUGUGGCGCCGCCGGCCGCUGACGAUGUGCUUUCGAAGAGUCGGGUUGUUUGGGAAUGCAGCCCAAAAUGGGUGGUAAACUCCAUCUAAAGCUAAAUACUGGCGUGAGACCGAUAGCGAAGGAAACGAAUGGGCUCAGCAAUGCGCCGUUUGAGAUUCAGCCGGUGGGUGGGAUCGACGGCGGGUUUGCGGAUCUGAAUGGACCGCGGCCCGGUGCUCGUUUCUCCCCACCGUCGCACUUCUCUUGGGCGCGCGUCAACGUCGGUUGGGACUGGGUCUGAAAGGUGCCGGGAAGGUAGGUGUGGGCCUCCGGGUCCGUGCUGUUACAGCCCGGUUCUCUCAUGGCUCGGGCCCGACCGAGGAGUUGCAGGGCAUGCCUCCUGUGGCUAGGGUCCCCUCCCUCCGGCCGGCUGUCCAAUGCGGUGGACUGCUUGCAGUGCUCGGCGAACGCUGCCGGUCGUUGGGGUGGUGAUCU